GCUGUCGACUAGCGCGCAGGGGCCACACCCGUUCCCAUUCCGAACACGGUCGUUAAGCCCUGUAGCGCCGAUGGUACUGCCAUCGCGAGAUGGUGGGAGAGUAGGCCGUCGCCAGCC
rnacentral:rRNA from 1 species